UAAGGAAUAUUGCUCAAUGGGAGAAAUCCUGAAGCAGCAACGCCGCGUGGGGGACGAAGGGCUUUUGCUUGUAAACCCCUGUAGCGAGAGAAAAAAUCUCCAUUCUAUGGAGGAUGAUGGUAUCUCGAAAGUAAGCCUCGGCUAACUACGUGCCAGCAGCCGCGGUAAUACGUAGGAGGCAAACGUUGUCCGGAUUUACUGGGUGUAAAGGGUGCUCAGGCGGUCUUGAAAGUCAAUGGUGAAAUCCCGGAGCUCAACUCCGGAACUGCCUUUGAUACUACAAGGCUUGAGUAUGGAAGAGGUGGAUGGAAUUUCUGGUGUAGCAGUGAAAUGCGUAGAUAUCAGAAAGAACACCAGUGGCGAAGGCGGUCUACUGGUCCAUUACUGACGCUAAAGCACGAAAGCAUGGGGAGCAAACAGGAUUAGAUACCCUGGUAGUCCAUGCCUUAAACGAUGAAUACUAGACGUUGGGGUCAAACUCAGUGUCGCAGCUAACGCAUUAAGUAUUCCACCUGGGGAGUACGAUCGCAAGGUUGA
rnacentral:rRNA from 1 species